rnacentral:rRNA from 1 species
UACAGAGGUCCCAAGCGUUGUUCGGAUUCACUGGGCGUAAAGGGUGCGUAGGUGGUUCUGCAAGUCUGAUGUGAAAUCUCCGGGCUUAACCCGGAAAUGGCAUUGGAAACUGCAGGGCUAGAGUGUUGGAGGGGGGACUGGAAUUCUCGGUGUAGCAGUGAAAUGCGUAGAUAUCGAGAGGAACACCAGUGGCGAAGGCGAGUCCCUGGACAAGCUACUGACACUGAGGCACGAAAGCUAGGGGAGCAAACAGG